UACGUAGGUGGCAAGCGUUGUCCGGAAUUAUUGGGCGUAAAGGGCUCGUAAGCGGUUUGUCGCGUCGGGAGUGAAAACAUCCAGCUUAACUGGGUGCUUGCUUUCGAUACGGGCAGACUAGAGGCAUUCAGGGGAGAACGGAAUUCCUGGUGUAGCGGUGAAAUGCGCAGAUAUCAGGAGGAACACCGGUGGCGAAGGCGGUUCUCUGGGAAUGUCCUGACGCUGAGGAGCGAAAGCGUGGGGAGCAAACAGG
rnacentral:misc_RNA from 1 species